UCCUUGGCUUCAGGGACCAUUCAUGCCCAGCUGCAUCAUGUGGUUGUACACUUGUACUAUUUUUUUUUUUUGUAGCCAAACACUUGUGCUAUUAUUGAUGCCUAUAUUGGCAGUUACUUUGCCACCCUAUUAGCAUCCCAUAUUUUGCCUUCAUAUUACACACACAUAUGCAUAUAUUAUACUAAAAUUAAGGUGUAAAUUAUGUAUUCCACAUACUGAUACUUCAUCCGUCCCUAAAAAGUUUACCCUAAUUUCUUUUUUCGAGCGUCCCUCAAAAAUUUGUCUCAAUCUUCUUAUUUUCUAUUUUUGUACAUGAUCCCACCAUCCAUGCACUUUACAAUUACAAUUAUUUAAACACUAUUUUUAUACUACAUGAUUUCACUAUCAAAUAAUUUUUUACCAGCUUUUAUCAAAUAACUCUUGGAGUAAACUUUUAAGGGACGAAGGAAGUGAUUUUUAAUUAAGAGAAAUUGGAAACCCCCUUUAUGAAUAUCGAUGAAAAUGAAAUGAAAGAAAGUUUUGAGCUUUGUUUUUGACGUGGAACUUGUUGUGUCAAGGAGGGAAAAAGAAAGGAUUGGUGUUGGGGGCUGUCGUGCAUGGAGUCGAAGAUGAGAGGACGACGAUGGCGAGGCGACAGCGACGGCUUUGCUAAUGUUCGCUGGAGUUCAGUAAAGGGGAGGGUCAGCUGCGGCUUCGCUGUGUUGACCGGGCCUGGGAGGGAGAAUGGAUGCGUGAGAUUAGGGAGCUAGAGCUUGGCGGCAAUUUGAAUGAUUGGAUUUGAGGCAUCUAGGGUUUGGGGAAAAAGGGUGGCGACGCUACUGUUUGAAAUACGAGCGGCGACGACUAGGACUGGGUAAUAAAGAAAGAGAGAGGGGGAAGGGAGGCACGACUGGUGACUGUGCGGUCGCCAGAGUCCACGGAAGGGGAGCUAACGGUAGUUACCUGGGAGUGUGCGUGUUCUAUUUUUUUUAAGGAGAAAAGUUGAGAGAUGAGUGAGAGGUGAGAGAGAUGGCGAGAGAUGUCAGUGGUGGUGCCUAGAGGGGCGAUCACGCUGGAGCUGAGAAAGAGCAGCGAUGCCUGCCGCCAAUGGUGCUUGUGAGGAAAAAGAGAAGGGUGCAUCUCUGUGUGUGUAUGUUCUAUGUGAAAGAGAGAGAGAGAGUAGGUAUAUUAAUAAAUUAUUAAAUAAAUUAUUAAUGAAGUCUUAAUUAUUGCCUAAUAGACCAUGAAUUUUGGGACAGUGCAAAUUGGAAAACAGGCCAUGAUGGGUGGAGUAAUUUAUAGGGUUAUUGGCGUCUAAAUACACGAAUUUGGGCUCAUUUUAUUUUUUGCCCACGAAAUAUAUUGUUAGAAAAUAAUGAUCCAAAAUAAUUCUUUUAUAAUUAACUAGCUAGCUUAAUUAAUUUAAUUGGGUCAUUUUCGUGGGAAAAAAAAUUAAAAUAUUGUUAUAUUUCGUGGGGAAAAAAUAAAAUGAGCUAAAAUUCGUGUAUUUUUUGACAAUUAUCAAAGUUCGUGUGAAAAAAC
rnacentral:lncRNA from 1 species